rnacentral:rRNA from 1 species
GACGAACGCUGGCGGCGUGCUUAACACAUGCAAGUCGAGCGGAAAGGCCUCUUCGGGGGUACUCGAGCGGCGAACGGGUGAGUAACACGUGAGUAAUCUGCCCCGGACUUUGGGAUAGCCACCGGAAACGGUGAUUAAUACCGGAUAUGACGACUCCACGCAUGUGGUGGUUGUGGAAAGUUUUUUCGGUUCGGGAUGUGCUCGCGGCCUAUCAGCUUAUUGGUGGGGUAAUGGCCUACCAAGGCUUUGACGGGUAGCCGGCCUGAGAGGGUGACCGGCCACACUGGGACUGAGACACGGCCCAGACUCCUACGGGAGGCAGCAGUGGGGAAUAUUGGACAAUGGGCGGAAGCCUGAUCCAGCAACGCCGCGUGAGGGAUGACGGCCUUCGGGUUGUAAACCUCUUUCAGCACCGACGAAGCUCCACUUUUUGGUGGUUUGACGGUAGGUGCAGAAGAAGGACCGGCCAACUACGUGCCAGCCGCCGCCGUAAGAC